GACGAACGCUGGCGGCGUGCCUAAUACAUGCAAGUCGAACGCAGUGGGGACGGGUGAGUAACACGUGGGUAACCUCCCAUCAGAGGGGAUAACACUUGGAAACAGGUGCUAAACCGAUACUGCUGGAUGGACCCGCGGUGCAUUAGCUAUUUGGUGGGUGAACGGGGAACCAAGGCCACGAUGCAUAGCAUACCUGGGAGGGUGAUCGGGCAAUCCGGGACGGAGAAACGGCCAAUACUCUUACAGGUGGAAGCAGUAGUGAAGUUUCGGCAAUGGACCAAAGUCGUACCGAGCAACGCAGCGUGAGUGAAGAAGGUUUUCAGAUCGUAAAACUCUGUUGUUAGAGAAGCGGUGUCUAACCAGCAAGCCACGGCUAACUACGUGCCAGCCGCCUAGGUAAUAG
rnacentral:rRNA from 1 species